rnacentral:rRNA from 1 species
CGAAGUGAGUGGCGGACGGGUGAGUAACACGUGGGUAACCUGCCCAGAAGCAGGGGAUAACACCUGGAAACAGAUGCUAAUACCGUAUAACAGAGAAAACCGCCUGGUUUUCUUUUAAAAGAUGGCUCUGCUAUCACUUCUGGAUGGACCCGCGGCGAUUAGCUAGUUGGUGAGGUAACGGCUCACCAAGGCGAUGAUGCGUAGCCGACCUGAGAGGGAAUCGGCCACAUUGGGACUGAGACACGGCCCAGACUCCUACGGGAGGCAGCAGUAGGGAAUCUUCCACAAUGGACGCAAGUCUGAUGGACAACGCCGCGUGAGUGAAGAAGGGUUUCGGCUCGUA